rnacentral:rRNA from 1 species
GCUCUAGAGAUUAAUGUUUUGAUCUGAUGGUACUUAUCACUUAGAGGAAGGAGAAGUCGUAACAAGGUUUCCGUAGGUGAACCUGCGGAAGGAUCAU